UACGUAGGGGGCAAGCGUUGUCCGGAUUUAUUGGGCGUAAAGAGCGUGUAGGCGGCCUGGUAGGUCAGCUGUGAAAACUCGAGGCUCAACCUCGAGACGCCGGUUGAAACCAUCAGGCUAGAGUCCGGAAGAGGAGAGUGGAAUUCCCGGUGUAGCGGUGAAAUGCGUAGAUAUCGGGAGGAAUACCAGUGGCGAAGGCGGCCUUCUGGACGGAUACUGACGCUGAGGCGCGAAAGCCAGGGGAGCAAAGCGGG
rnacentral:rRNA from 1 species